rnacentral:rRNA from 1 species
AGAAUCAACGCUGGCGGCGUGCCUAACGACAUGCAAGUCGAACGAGAAAGUGGAGCAAUCCAUGAGUAAAGUGGCGCACGGGUGAGUAACACGUGACUAACCUACCCUUGAGUGGGGAAUAACUUCGGGAAACCGAGGCUAAUACCGCAUAACACCUACGGGUCAAAGGAGCAAUUCGCUUAAGGAGGGGGUCGCGGCAGAUUAGUUAGUUGGCGGGGUAAUGGCCCACCAAGACGGUGAUCUGUAUCCGGCCUGAGAGGGCGCACGGACACACUGGAACUGAAACACGGUCCAGACUCCUACGGGAGGCAGCAGUGGGGAAUUUUGCGCAAUGGGGGAAACCCUGACGCAGCAACGCCGCGUGGAGGAUGAAGUCCCGUUGGGACGUAAACUCCUUUCGAUCGGGACGAUUAUGACGGUACCGGAAGAGAAGCCCGGCUACUUCGCGCCAGCAGCCGC